UACAGAGGGUGCAAGCGUUAAUCGGAAUCACUGGGCGUAAAGCGCACGUAGGCGGAUCGUUAAGUCGGGGGUGAAAUCCCAGGGCUCAACCCUGGAACUGCCUUCGAUACUGGCGAUCUUCGAGUCCGGGAGAGGUGAGUGGAACUCCGAGUGUAGAGGUGAAAUUCGUAGAUAUUCGGAAGAACACCAGUGGCGAAGGCGGCUCACUGGCCCGGUACUGACGCUGAGGUGCGAAAGCGUGGGGAGCAAACAGG
rnacentral:rRNA from 1 species